rnacentral:rRNA from 1 species
UGCAGUCGAACGAACCUUCGGGUUAGUGGCGGACGGGUGAGUAACGCGUGAGAAUCUGCCCUCAGGAGGGGGAUAACGGUUGGAAACGACCGCUAAUACCCCAUAUGCCUACUGGUGAAAUGAAUUUCGCCUGAGGAUGAGCUCGCGUCUGAUUAGCUAGUUGGUGAGGUAAUGGCUCACCAAGGCUUCGAUCAGUAGCUGGUCUGAGAGGAUGAUCAGCCACACUGGGACUGAGACACGGCCCAGACUCCUACGGGAGGCAGCAGUGGGGAAUUUUCCGCAAUGGGCGAAAGCCUGACGGAGCAACGCCGCGUGAGGGACGAAGGCCUCUGGGCUGUAAACCUCUUUUCUCAAGGAAGAAGAUAUGACGGUACUUGAGGAAUAAGCCACGGCUAAUUCCGUGCCAGCAGCCGCGGUAAUACGGGAGUGGCAAGCGUUAUCCGGAAUUAUUGGGCGUAAAGCGUCCGCAGGCGGCUUUUCAAGUCUGCUGUUAAAGCGUGGAGCUUAACUCCAUCAUGGCAGUGGAAACUGAAAGGCUUGAGUAUGGUAGGGGCAGAGGGAAUUCCCGGUGUAGCGGUGAAAUGCGUAGAUAUCGGGAAGAACACCAGUGGCGAAGGCGCUCUGCUGGGCCAUCACUGACGCUCAUGGACGAAAGCCAGGGGAGCGAAAGGGAUUAGAUACCCCUGUAGUCCUGGCCGUAAACGAUGAACACUAGGUGUCGGGGGAAUCGACCCCCUCGGUGUCGUAGCCAACGCGUUAAGUGUUCCGCCUGGGGAGUACGCACGCAAGUGUGAAACUCAAAGGAAUUGACGGGGGCCCGCACAAGCGGUGGAGUAUGUGGUUUAAUUCGAUGCAACGCGAAGAACCUUACCAGGGUUUGACAUCCUGCGAAUCUCUUGGAAACGAGAGAGUGCCUUCGGGAGCGCAGUGACAGG